rnacentral:misc_RNA from 1 species
GGGGUCCGUAAGGGUCCUGCACAGGUGGUGCAUGGCUGUCGUCAGCUCGUGUCGUGAGAUGUUGGGUUAAGUCCCGCAACGAGCGCAACCCUCGUCCUAUGUUGCCAGCGAGUAAUGUCGGGGACAUCCCCACCUUCCUCCGAGUUGACCCCGGCAGUCUCCUAUGAGUGGGCUGGUCCAGGGCCAGGACCGGAUGUGUAGGCCGGUCUGGUUGCUCGAGGGUGUGGAACACUGAUGAUUUGGCUGCCGGUUCUGUCUGGCUUCUAUGUGUUCUUGAGACCGUGUUUAAUGUUUUUCAAUGAUUAAGGAUUGAAUGUUAGGGAUGAUUUUAAUUUGAGAGAUAUUUCAUGUUGACAAGUUUUUAAUUCAUUAUCAUUUUUGUUUAUAUCAAAUGCUUACUUUUUGUUUGAUUUGUUAUGAGGGUCAGCUGUCAACCAAGCUGUAAUCCGAGGAUGGGGUCCGUAAGGGUCUCUCCUUGCAUCCAAACGGGUGCGACUCAGACGGCCGGACGGUAAGGUUACAUGUCCGGACUCGAGUGGCUCAGACAGCCGGACGGUAAGGUUACAUGUCCGGACGAGCGCGGUCUGUUGCAUGCUUAUGUGGCAACGUGCGUCCGAAUGGGGAAACCCGGAA